rnacentral:rRNA from 1 species
AGGACGAACGCUGGCGGCGUGCUUAACACAUGCAAGUCGAACGGUGAAGCCUUUCGGGGUGGAUCAGUGGCGAACGGGUGAGUAACACGUGAGUAAUCUGCCCUUGACUCUGGGAUAACUUCGGGAAACCGUGGCUAAUACCGGAUAUGACGCAUGGUCGCAUGGUCUGUGUGUGGAAAGAUUUAUUGGUCAGGGAUGAGCUCGCGGCCUAUCAGCUUGUUGGUGGGGUAAUGGCCUACCAAGGCGACGACGGGUA